rnacentral:rRNA from 1 species
UACAGAGACUGCAAGCGUUAUUCGGAUUCACUGGGCGUAAAGGGUGCGCAGGCGGCCGUGUGUGUCAGGUGUGAAAGCCCGGGGCUUAACCCCGGAAUUGCGCCUGAAACUACAUGGCUAGAGCAUUGGAGAGGGUAGCGGAAUUCACGGUGUAGCAGUGAAAUGCGCAGAUAUCGUGAGGAACACCAGUGGCGAAGGCGAGUCUCUGGACAGUUACUGACGCUGAGGCACGAAGGCCAGGGGAGCAAACGGG